rnacentral:rRNA from 1 species
AUUGAACGCUGGCGGCAUGCCUUACACAUGCAAGUCGAACGGCAGCACGGGAGCAAUCCUGGUGGCGAGUGGCGAUCGGGUGAGUAAUGUAUCGGAACGUACCUUUCAGUGGGGGAUAACGUAGCGAAAGUUACGCUAAUACCGCAUAUUCUGUGAGCAGGAAAGCAGGGGAUCGCAAGACCUUGCGCUGAUUGAGCGGCCGAUAUCAGAUUAGCUAGUUGGUGAGGUAAAGGCUCACCAAGGCGACGAUCUGUAGCGGGUCUGAGAGGAUGAUCCGCCACACUGGAACUGAGACACGGUCCAGACUCCUACGGGAGGCAGCAGUGGGGAAUUUUGGACAAUGGGCGCAAGCCUGAUCCAGCCAUGCCGCGUGAGUGAAGAAGGCCCUGGUUGUAAGACGUCUUCUAGCCGGAAGGAAACGACGAUGGUUAAGUACCUACGUGUGG